rnacentral:piRNA from 1 species
UGAUAUUAGCAAUUUGUGUCUUCAGUUAGC